UAAACGCACUGACGUUUCGGCAUCAAUUGAUUUCUCUUCAAAUUUAUUCUCUUUUAUAUAUAAGAAUUAUAUUUAUUGGAUUCAGACAGUUUUCGUGCUUUAUUAUGGGUAGAAAACAUACUAAUAAAGCACACAAACAUUUCACAUAUAACGAUGUAGAAGAUAGUUCACAGUGUGUCAUCUGUAAAUCUUCAUUGAAGAAUCAAUACAAAGAAAAGUUAAUGAAGAAGCUGAUAAAAUAAAAAAGGAAAUAUCUGAGGAUAUAAAAAACAUUCUGAUUUCAAUAAAAGUGGACGCUGUCACUCGAUUAGACAGAUCCUUUUUAGGUAUCAAUAUACAAUAUAUUAAAGAUACAAAAAUUGUA